AGCGAACGCUGGCUGCAGGCCUAACACAUGCAAGUCGAACGAACCUUUCGGGGUUAGUGGCGGACGGGUGAGUAACACGUGGUAACGUGCCUUUAGGGUCGGAAUCACUCAGGGAAUCGUGUGCUACUACCGAAUGUGCCCUUCGGGGGAAAGAUUUAUCGCCCUUAGAGCGGCCCGCGUCUGAUUAGCUAGUUGGUUGAGGUAAUGGCUCACCAAGGCGACGAUCAGUAGCCGGACUGAGAGGAUGAUCAGCCACAUUGGGACUGAGACACGGCCCAAACUCCUACGGGAGGCAGCAGUGGGGAAUCUUGCGCAAUGGGCGAAAGCCUGACGCAGCCAUGCCGCGUGAAUGAUGAAGGUCUUAGGAUUGUAAAAUUCUUUCACCGGGGACGAUAAUGACGGUACCCGGAGAAGAAGCUCCGGCUAACUUCGUG
rnacentral:rRNA from 1 species